rnacentral:misc_RNA from 1 species
GAUGAAGAACGUAGCGAAAUGCGAUAAGUAAUGUGAAUUGCAGAAUUCAGUGAAUCAUCGAAUCUUUGAACGCACAUUGCGCCCCUUGGUAUUCCGGGGGGCAUGCCCGUUCGAGCGUCAUUUGUACCUUCAAGCUUUGCUUGGUGUUGGGUGUUUGUCUCGCCUCUGCGUGUAGACUCGCCUUAAAACAAUUGGCAGCCGGCGUAUUGAUUUCGGAGCGCAGUACAUCUCGCGCUUUGCACUCAUAACGACGACGUCCAAAAGUACAUUUUUACACUCUUGACCUCGGAUCAGGUAGGGAUACCCGCUGAACUUAAGCAUAUCAAUAAGCGGAGGA